rfam:Pleurotus ostreatus PC15 unplaced genomic scaffold scaffold_03, whole genome shotgun sequence.
GACUCGAUAGCUAAGUGGUUAUAGCAUGCGAUUGCAGCGAGCAGCUCAUCGCAGGGUCCCGUGUUCAAAUCACGGUCGGGUCU